UGGGCUCAUAGGCUAAUGGUAAACCCUCUCGUUUACACCGAGAUGUCACAGGUUCGAUCCCUGUUGGGCCCAU
rnacentral:tRNA from 1 species